AAGCUCGUAGUUGAAUUUCGGGGUUCUACCGUUGGUCGGGCAAUAGUCUGUACUGGCGUGUAGAAUUUCUACCUUCUGGGGAACCAUCAUGUUAUUUAUUUAGCGUGGUGGGAAACCAGGACCUUUACCUUGAAAAAAAUUAGAGUGUUCAAAGCAGGCUUACGUCUGAAUACAUUAGCAUGGAAUAAUAAAAUAGGACGGUGGUCCUGUUUUGUUGGUUUCUGAAUCACCGUAUGAUUAAUAGGGAUAGUUGGG
rnacentral:rRNA from 1 species